GCCCCGUUCGUCUAGCGGCCCAGGACACCGCCCUCUCACGGCGGCAGCACCGGUUCAAAUCCGGUACGGGGUACCG
rnacentral:tRNA from 3 species